GGCCCUCAGGUUGGUCCACAGUGUUUCCAGUCUACGUGGGUGGGCUUCUCUGAAGGCUCUCCCACAUCACCCCAUGAGCAUCCUUAGAGGUGGAACCUGCUGCUCACAGCCUCUGCUAGCUAAUCUUGGGUCCCCAAAACAUUUUCUUUCCUAAGUUUAAUUAGGAAAGGGAAUGAAAGCAUUUUCUUACCUCCGACACUGUCAUUGAGUUCUCAUCACCAUCAACCUGAAGGGAAACACCUCAUUUGCUCCAAAGAGCAGAGCUUCCCUUGGAAUCUGCCCCCUGGCUUUGGCUCAGCCCCUCACAUCCAUUUUCAUCACAGGCUCAUCAUGAGAGCUACAGACCAAGCCAGCACCUGAGGGUCUGUAUCCUCUGUGUUGGGACACGGGACAUCAUCGGUCCAGCUGAAGGGAAACUGCUCUGCCGGUCCAUGGGCAGGACCAGAGCUGGGCAGGGUCCAGCAACUCUGCUAAUCCAGAGCAACUGGGAUUCCCCAAGGCCUCCCCGCACCCUCCUGACCUGGAUCCAGACCCAGGGGCUGGACACAACAUUUCUGAGAUGACUGACAAGGGCCCUCUGGAGCCCAGCACCCCCACUGCUCUCAGAGUCUGCACGUCUGGACCACCACGGAACUCCUGGGCCCACCAGAAACCAUCCAGACGGAUGUUGGAUGCAGAGUGUGACCCCCGGGGGCGAGCAAGGCUUCAGAGCAGCAGGUUCUGAGCUCACACAUCUCACCCAAUCCUCCCAGCAACUGUGGUGGGUGUGGCCGAGAGACCACCAGUGACCUCCAGGAAGCCUCGGCGCAGGACUGGAAUGGAACUCCAGCUCCUUGGUGAGACUCCUUGGUGCUUCCUCCCGGUGAGAGCGAGAUCUACUGUCAGGGGAGCCCCCCCGAGGUGGGGACGGGAGGACUGAGGAGCCCUGGGGGCCCUGGGCAUAGAGAUACCGAAACAAGCCGACAGGCUGCACUUUAACCAGCAGGGGCCUUAGGAUUUCUAGAAGCUUCUCUGGGCCUUUCUCCUCUCUAUGAGCUAAGCCAGAAUGCACGGUAGCUCUGAUUUCCUGUGCAUCGCCCUGUAGGACAUCCCCAGGCCUUCUCCUGAGAGGGGGAGUGGGAAUCCCGUGAGACUCAUGCCCACUGCACUGUUCUGUGAUCACCACCGUGAAAUGGACCACACCUGGAGCUGGGGGCUCCACCCGGGAGGACAGAUUGAGUGUCCACAUUGAUAAAACAGGCCCUGCUGAUGUGGCUUAAAGGUCACCCGCAGCACAUAGAUAUCUCGUAGUCUCGUGUGAAGCAAGAACUAAUGUUACUUUAAGAAUUAGGAUUAAAUUGCAAAUAUCCAGAACACAAAUUCUGUAUGUAAAAUACACAUCAGAUUUAUACUCACAAGCUGAUCUGGCAUGAAUUCCGAUGGUUUUGGUGUCGUUAUUUUUUAAAAAGCUCAUUUGCAGGUGGCCAAUGCUAAUUAUUGUGAGAGAAAACUUGGUUUUGCUUUAGUAAAGAACCAACUCAAACUAAAGUGGAAUUUUAAAGAGCUUGAGGAGAAUAAAUCAGUGUCAGUUUGUCUUAUUUCAUAACAGUCACCAUGGAAGCAGAUCACUGACCUGCUUCCUCCCUACCUGAGUGGACACAGGCCCCUCCCUGGUGUCCUGUCUCCUGGGUCAGGGAGUCCUGGCAGCCGGCUGCGAAGCCUUCCA